GACGAACGCUGGCGGCGUGCCUAAUACAUGCAAGUAGAACGCACAGUUUAUACCGUAGCUUGCUACGCCAUAGACUGUGAGUUGCGAACGGGUGAGUAACGCGUAGGUAACCUGCCUGGUAGCGGGGGAUAACUAUUGGAAACGAUAGCUAAUACCGCAUAAUAUUAAUUAUUGCAUGAUAAUUAAUUGAAAGGUGCAAUUGCACCACUACCAGAUGGACCUGCGUUGUAUUAGCUAGUAGGUGAGGUAACGGCUCACCUAGGCGACGAUACAUAGCCGACCUGAGAGGGUGAUCGGCCACACUGGGACUGAGACACGGCCCAGACUCCUACGGGAGGCAGCAGUAGGGAAUCUUGGGCAAUGGACGAAAGUCUGACCGAGCAACGCCGCGUGAGUGAAGAAGGUUUUCGGAUCGUAAAGCUCUGUUGUAAGGGAAGAACGGGUGUGAGAGUGGAAAGUUCACACUGUGACGGUAUCUUACCAGAAAGGGACGGCUAACUACGUG
rnacentral:rRNA from 1 species